GAUGAAGAACGUAGCGUAAUGCGAUAAGUAAUGUGAAUUGCAGAAUUCAGUGAAUCAUCGAAUCUUUGAACGCACAUUGCGCCCGCCAGUAUUCUGGCGGGCAUGCCUGUUCGAGCGUCAUUUCAACCAUCAAGCCCCCGGCUUGUGUUGGGGACCUGCGGCUGCCGCAGGCCCUGAAAAGCAGUGGCGGGCUCGCUGUCACACCGAGCGUAGUAGCAUACAUCUCGCUCUGGGCGUGCUGCGGGUUCCGGCCGUUAAACCACCUUCAUAACCCAAGGUUGACCUCGGAUCAGGUAGGAAGACCCGCUGAACUUAAGCAUAUCAUAAGCGGAGGA
rnacentral:misc_RNA from 1 species